rnacentral:rRNA from 1 species
GACGAACCGUACGAACGUUAUUCGGAAUUACUGGGCUUAAAGGGUGCGUAGGCUGCGCAGCAAGUUGGGUGUGAAAUCCCUCGGCUUAACCGAGGAACUGCGCCCAAAACUGCUGUGCUCGAGGGAGACAGAGGUGAGCGGAACUUAGGGUGGAGCGGUGAAAUGCGUUGAUAUCCUAAGGAAAACCCGUGGCGAAAGCGGCUCACUGGGUCUCUUCUGACGCUGAGUCACGAAAGCUAGGGUAGCUAACGGG